ACGCUCGACACCUACAGGAGGCAGCAGUAGGGAAUCUUCCACAAUGGACGCAAGUCUGAUGGAGCAACGCCGCGUGAGUGAAGAAGGUCUUCGGAUCGUAAAACUCUGUUGUUAGAGAAGAACACGAGUGAGAGUAACUGUUCAUUCGAUGACGGUAUCUAACCAGCAAGUCACGGCUAACUACGUGCCAGCAGCCGUGGUAAUCUGAGCGGGCUGGCAAGGC
rnacentral:rRNA from 1 species